AAAUGUACGUCUCUAUCUGAUUAUCUUUUAUUUCCAAAGUGUUGCUACUUUUAGUAUAAAUAGAGGUGAAAGAUAUGAGUCUGCCAUGCUUAAUUAGUUGAUCAUCAAGUUCGAGCUUGGAAGGACUGAUGGCAAGAAGGCAAACCAUUCUGAUCACUUGUCUCAUGUGGCUUUUAGUCGUUUCAUCCAUUACUUUAUGUGCAAAUGCAACUGCCGGUGCUCGUCCGGAAUCAUUUGAACAAGGUGUUCAUCCCCAAGGCUGUCGCUGCUGCUUUUUCAUUUGGAAACCGAUGAUUCGCUGUGGGAAAGUAUGUUGUGGUGAUGAUUGUUGCAUUUAGAACUGAGGCAUCAAUUUCUCCAUCAAUUAGACUAUAACUCGUUGCUGAUGUAGCAUGUAUUUUCAUUACAAGUGAUUGUACUAGUAAAAAUUAAUGUAGGUUGGAUCGUCAUUCUCUAAGAAAGAAGGGUUCUUCUCACAAUUCUUCUUCUUUCCUCAGUAAGGAUGUUCUACACCUACAUUAACUAGGCUUCUUUUUUCUGCAAAUCAACAAUAAUGUUCUGUUAGGAAGAUGCUAUGCAGGGGAAAUAAUCAAUGCAAAAUUGGUAAACGAGCCAAACCAUGUAUCAUUGCUCGGAAA